GACGAACGCUGGCGGCGUGCCUAAUACAUGCAAGUUGAGCGCUGAAGGUUGGUACUUGUCCCAACUGGAUGAGCAGCGAACGGGUGAGUAACGCGUGGGGAAUCUGCCUUUGAGCGGGGGACAACAUUUGGAAACGAAUGCUAAUACCGCAUAAAAACUUUAAACACAAGUUUUAAGUUUGAAAGAUGCAAUUGCAUCACUCAAAGAUGAUCCCGCGUUGUAUUAGCUAGUUGGUGGGGUAAAGGCUCACCAAGGCGAUGAUACAUAGCCGACCUGAGAGGGUGAUCGGCCACAUUGGGACUGAGACACGGCCCAAACGCCUACGGGAGGCAGCAGUAGGGAAUCUUCGGCAAUGGACGAAAGUCUGACCGAGCAACGCCGCGGGAGUGAAGAAGGGUUUCGGAUCGUAAAACUCUGUUGGUAGAGAAGAACGAUGGUGAGAGUGGAAAGCUCAUCAAGUGACGGUAACUACCCAGAAAGGGACGGCUAACUACGUG
rnacentral:rRNA from 1 species